rnacentral:rRNA from 1 species
GACGUAGGGCGCGAGCGUUGUCCGGAUUUAUUGGGCGUAAAGCGCACGUAGGCGGAUCGAUCAGUCAGGGGUGAAAUCCCAGGGCUCAACCCUGGAACUGCCUUUGAUACUGUCGAUCUGGAGUAUGGAAGAGGUGAGUGGAAUUCCGAGUGUAGAGGUGAAAUUCGUAGAUAUUCGGAGGAACACCAGUGGCGAAGGCGGCUCACUGGUCCAUUACUGACGCUGAGGUGCGAAAGCGUGGGGAGCAAACAGG